rnacentral:rRNA from 1 species
GACGAACCGUCCAAACGUUGUUCGGAAUCACUGGGCUUAAAGGGCGCGUAGGCGGGCAAGCAAGUCCGGGGUGAAAUCUUUCGGCUCAACCGGAAAAGUGCCUUGGAUACUGCUUGUCUGGAGGGAGGUAGGGGCAUGUGGAACUUCUGGUGGAGCGGUGAAAUGCGUUGAUAUCAGAAGGAACGCCGGUGGCGAAAGCGACGUGCUGGACCUCUUCUGACGCUGAGGCGCGAAAGCUAGGGGAGCAAACGGG